ACGGAAGGCAGCAGUGGGGAAUAUUGGGCAAUGGGCGAAAGCCUGACCCAGCAACGCCGCGUGAGGGAAGACGGUUUUCGGAUUGUAAACCUCUGUCUUUGGUGACGAAGAAGUGACGGUAGCCAAGGAGGAAGCCACGGCUAACUACGUGCCAGCAGCCGCGGUAAUACGUAGGUGGCAAGCGUUAUCCGGAAUUACUGGGUGUAAAGGGAGCGCAGGCGGGAUAGCAAGUCAGCGGUGAAAAUUAUGGGCUUAACCCAUAAACUGCCGUUGAAACUGUUAUUCUUGAGUGGAGUAGAGGCAGGCGGAAUUCCGAGUGUAGCGGUGAAAUGCGUAGAUAUUCGGAGGAACACCAGUGGCGAAGGCGGCCUGCUGGGCUCUAACUGACGCUGAGGCUCGAAAGUGUGGGGAGCAAACAGGAUUAGAUACCCUGGUA
rnacentral:rRNA from 1 species